GAAACUAGUGAACAUAUAACUCGUGUAAAAUAUAGAUAGUGAAAAUUUAAAUUCAAAAUCAGUAUUAUUGUUUAAAAAUAUCUCGUAUGAUCUCUUCAAGGGGCUUUUUCACAGAUUUUGGCAUGUAUUGAAGUUUGUCAUUAGAUGCUUCAUAUUGAUAAAUGUAAACACUGGAUCUAAAACCAAGGUGCCUGUACCACGUGACUUUUUCGGCUAUGUGUGGGACAAUCGGAUGUCAACAAACCAUCGCUUCAGACUUGACAAGGAUUAGUCGAAGGAUUUGUAACGCUUUAAGGCGCGAAGCUGUGUUAGAAUUAGAUGAACACCAUCAAACCACACGGAAGGUGUUAUGCGGCAAGUUAAUUAUCAAAACCACAGUGACAGAGACGGACCCAGCUUCAUUCUGUGAUGUUUACGGAAAGCUAUUUCAACUAACUAUGCAAACAUACCAUUUAAUAUGUAUUUUGGAAUAAUCAAAACAAAGUGUAUGUUUUGAUAUUUGUGUAUAUUUAUGUGUUUUGUAUCUAUGUUAUUAAUGAAAUUGAUUAGAUGAAUAUAAAAUCUGAGUAUAUAUGUUAAUAAAACAAUUGUUUCAUAACAAAUAACAAUAUAAAUCCAA